rnacentral:rRNA from 1 species
UGGGGGAAUUUUGGACAAUGGGCGAAAGCCUGAUCCAGCAAUGCCGCGUGUGUGAAGAAGGCCUUCGGGUUGUAAAGCACUUUUGUCCGGAAAGAAAUCCUUGGCUCUAAUACAGUCGGGGGAUGACGGUACCGGAAGAAUAAGCACCGGCUAACUACGUGCCAGCAGCCGCGGUAAUACGUAGGGUGCAAGCGUUAAUCGGAAUUACUGGGCGUAAAGCGUGCGCAGGCGGUUUGCUAAGACCGAUGUGAAAUCCCCGGGCUCAACCUGGGAACUGCAUUGGUGACUGGCAGGCUAGAGUAUGGCAGAGGGGGGUAGAAUUCCACGUGUAGCAGUGAAAUGCGUAGAGAUGUGGAGGAAUACCGAUGGCGAAGGCAGCCCCCUGGGCCAAUACUGACGCUCAUGCACGAAAGCGUGGGGAGCAAACAGGAUUAGAUACCCUGGUAGUCCACGCCCUAAACGAUGUCAACUAGUUGUU